AGCUUCAUGUCCUAGAACCGAGUCUCCUCUCUUUCGUAAAAUCGCCCCAACCAAUGAAUACUAAUUUUUUAAGUCCCAGAUGCUGCACUGGGGGAAAGGGAGAAAAAGGAAGAUUCUGGAAAGAGACCCAAGGGAGGAGGGAAAACACAGAUGAAGUCAUGAGGAUGCCACCCCACCCCACUUCAGACACAUGCCCUUAAAGAAGAGGAAGAGGCCGGAGUCAUAUGUUUGCAGCAUCUGCAUAGCAGGAAAUGGAUCCUCACGGACACCACUUGCAUCAGAGCUUUGAUGUUGUACUUCCCACGCCCUGGAACUGUGGAGAGAGAUCCCUGUUUGUCUGCAUGAGGCAACAAGCUUGCGAGCAGAAGCUGCAACUAAGGAUUAUGGAGGUGCAGACAGAAGGAGCCUGGACCUGCCGCUGGUUGCACUGGCCUUCUGGGAUUCUGCUUGCCCUUACUCUCUGCCCUCUUCUUCUUCUUCUUCUUUUCUUCUUCUUCUUCUUCUUCUUCUUCUUCUUCUUCUUCUUCUUCUUCUUCUUCUUCUUCUUCNNNNNNNNNNNNNNNNNNNNNNNNNNNNNNNNNNNNUCCUCCUCCUCCUUCUUCUUCUUCUUCUUCUGUUUUAGAUUUUUUUUAUGAGAAAAAUAAACACAUUUUUGGUAGGUCAGCGUCCUGUAGCUUGUAGCCAAGUACAAGCCCUGGAGACAGCAAUGGCUUUAAGUCCUUCAUGUUUCUUUAAAUGGUCUUUAAAUGUAUAGUGGCAGAAGUCUUGACUCACAACACUAAGGAACCAGAGGCAGGCAGAUCACUGUGAGUUCAAGGCCAGCUACAUAGUGAGACUGUGUCAGAGAGAGAGGGACAGAGAGAGAGAGAGACAGAGACAGAGACAGAGAGACAGAGACAGAGAGACAGAGAGAGACAGAGACAGAGUUUUCUUUGAUCAGUAAGCCUGUUCCUCCCUGACAGACAAUGCCUCCGCUAGCACACAGUAAGUCUGUACUAGUGAGGAUCUCCCGUUUUACUGAUCCGUUCCUGGACAAUCAAUACAAAGAUGGAGGGUGUUAAAGCCUCUUCUCUUCCUUCCCCUCCUGCUCCUCCUCCUUAUUUUCUAUGUUGUUAUUUAUUUUUUCACAAAUACCAGGUCCCAUCCCACACUGUAUGACACAACACCGAACAAAGCAAGCAAGUCCUUGUGUGGCCCUUUGGCAGUGCAAGCCACCCUUCGUUGUUCCAUAUUCAUUUUGGAGUCAGUCUGACCAAUUCUUGACAAUUCUAAUGGAAAGAAAAUUUCAUGAAGUGCUUCGCCAGACUCCAUUGUCUAUAUAACACUGUGUUCUGUUUUGUGAAAGAACAUUUGAGCUGUUUCUAGUUUGGGAAUAUUAAAACAUUAUGCUUUUGUGAAUGCUU
ensembl:lincRNA Gm26705 predicted gene, 26705